rnacentral:rRNA from 1 species
CUACAAGGUCACCAUCGGUAGCUCGAUCGACGGGAUGAUCAUCCUAACUGGAACCGAGUAGCAGUCGAUACUCCUACGGUAGGCAUCAAUGGCGAAUAUUGAGACAGUGGGCGCAACCCUGAUACAGCAAUGUCGCGUGUGUGAAGAAGGCCUGAGGGUUGUAAAGCACUUUCAGUGGGGAGGAGGUUGAAUAGGUUUAUAUAUAGAUGUUAUUUGUUAGCAACCUUAGAGGGACCGGAUAAUUCGUGGCCAUCGCCCGCGUGGAUACUGAUGGUGCCAGCGUGAAUCGGAAUUACUGGGAGUAAAGGGUGCGUACGUGGUUGAUUAAGUUAUCUGUGAAAUCCGAGGGCUUAGGCUGGGCUGGUCGGAGGAUACUGGUUAACGCUAGUAUGGGAGAGGGUAGUGGAAUUUCAAGUGUAGCGGCGACAUGCGUAUAGAACUGAAGGAACACGCGGGGCGAAGGAGGC